ACUCAAAGGAAUUGACGGGGACCCGCACAAGCGGUGGAGCGUGUUCUUUAAUUCGAGGAUAAGCGAAGAACCUUACCAGGGCUUGACAUCCCUUGAAUCACUGCGAAAGCAGAGAGUGCUUUAUUGAGCAAGGUGACAGGUGUUGCAUGGCCGUCGUCAGCUCGUGUCGUGAGAUGUUUGGUUAAGUCCAUUAACGAGCGCAACCCUUAUGAAUAGUUGGAUUUUUCUAUUCAGACUGCCUCGGUAACGGGGAGGAAGGAGGGGAUGAUGUCAGGUCAUUAUUACCCUUAUGUCCUGGGCUAGAAACGCGCUACAAUGGCCGGUACAAAGGGCAGCCAACCCGUGAGGGGGAGCAAAUCCCAUCAAAGCCGGUCCCAGUUCGGAUUGCAGGCUGAAAUUCGCCUGCAUGAAGCCGGAAUCGCUAGUAAUCGUGGGUCAGCACACCACGGUGAAUACGUUCCCGGGUCUUGCACACACCGCCCGU
rnacentral:rRNA from 1 species